rnacentral:rRNA from 1 species
AGAGUUUGAUCCUGGCUCAGAACGAACGCUGGCGGCAUGCCUAACACAUGCAAGUCGAACGGGAUCCGGACUUCGGUUCGGUGAGAGUGGCGGACGGGUGAGUAACGCGUGGGAAUCUGCCCAGUGGUGGGGGAUAACUGCGGGAAACUGCAGCUAAUACCGCAUGAGCCCGAGAGGGGAAAGAUUUAUCGCCAUUGGAGGAGCCCGCGUUCGAUUAGGUAGUUGGUGAGGUAACGGCUCACCAAGCCUACGAUCGAUAGCUGGUCUGAGAGGAUGAUCAGCCACACUGGGACUGAGAUACGGCCCAGACUCCUACGGGAGGCAGCAGUGGGGAAUAUUGGACAAUGGGGGCAACCCUGAUCCAGCAAUGCCGCGUGAGUGAUGAAGGCCUUCGGGUUGUAAAGCUCUUUUGCCAGGGACGAUGAUUGACGGUACCUGGAGAAUUAGCCCCGGCUAACUUCGUGCCAGCAGCCGCGGUAAUACGAAGGGGGCAAGCGUUGUUCGGAAUUACUGGGCGUAAAGGGCGCGUAGACGGCUUAUCAAGUCAGGCGUGAAAUUCCCGGGCUCAAUCCUGGGGGCUGCGCUUGAUACUGAUGAGCUUGAAUGCGGGAGAGGAUAGUGGAAUUCCCAGUGUAGAGGUGAAAUUCGUAGAUAUUGGGAAGAACACCGGUGGCGAAGGCGGCUAUCUGGCCCGUAAUUGACGCUGAGGCGCGAAAGCGUGGGGAGCAAACAGGAUUAGAUACCCUGGUAGUCCACGCCGUACACGAUGAAUGCUAGACGUUGGCGAGCAUGCUCGUCAGUGUCGCAGCUAACGCAUUAAGCAUUCCGCCUGGGGAGUACGGUCGCAAGAUUAAAACUCAAAUGAAUUGACGG